rnacentral:rRNA from 1 species
GACAGAGGGUGCAAACGUUGUUCGGAAUUACUGGGCGUAAAGCGCGUGUAGGCGGCUAUGUAAGUCGGGCGUGAAAUCCCACGGCUCAACCGUGGAAGUGCACUCGAAACUGCAUAGCUAGAGUCCCGGAGAGGAAGGUGGAAUGCUUGGUGUAGAGGUGAAAUUCGUAGAUAUCAAGCGGAACACCGGUGGCGAAGGCGGCCUUCUGGACAGUGACGUGACGCUGAGACGGCGAAAGCGUGGGGAGCAAACAGG